CAAGCAAAAGAGAUACUGUCGUUGGAUGGUGUAUGAAUUAGAGACUUUUGCAGAGGUUCUAAAGACUUCCUAGAACUCAUCAAAAGUGCAUUUGUGGUGGGGCCCUGGAAGAUUAGAAGUAUAUCAGUUUGAACUCUAAUUUGUGUUCAUGUAUCAUGCAACCUUUAUUUUGUGAAGUUUUGCUGAA